CCCUUAGAUGUUCUGGGCCGCACGCGCGCUACAAUGGCAGACUCAGCGAGUUACCUCUGUCGAAAGGCACAGGGAAUCUUUACAGUAUCUGCCGUGAUGGGGAUAGACCCUUGUAAUUUUUGGUCUUCAACGAGGAAUUCCUAGUAAACGCAAGUCAUUAACUUGCAUUGAUUACGUCCCUGCCCUUUGUACACACCGCCCGUCGCACCUACCGAUUGAAUGGUCCGGUGAGGUCCUCGGACCCAGUUGAACCUCGAGUUGAACAGGGAAAGUUGACUAAAUCUUACCAUUUAGAGGAAGGUGAAGUCGUAACA
rnacentral:rRNA from 1 species